AACGAACGCUGGCGGCAUGCCUAACACAUGCAAGUCGAACGAGACCUUCGGGCCUAGUGGCGCACGGGUGCGUAACGCGUGGGAACCUGCCCUUAGGUUCGGAAUAACUCCCCGAAAGGGGUGCUAAUACCGGAUAAUGUCUUCGGACCAAAGAUUUAUCGCCUUUGGAUGGGCCCGCGUUGGAUUAGCUAGUUGGUAGGGUAAAAGCCUACCAAGGCGACGAUCCAUAGCUGGUCUGAGAGGAUGAUCAGCCACACUGGGACUGAGACACGGCCCAGACUCCUACGGGAGGCAGCAGUGGGGAAUAUUGGACAGUGGGCGGAAGCAUGAUCGAGCAAUGCCGCGUGAGUGAUGAAGGCCGUAGGGUUGUAAAGCUCUUUUACCCGGGAUGAUAAUGACAGUACCGGGAGAAUAAGCUCCGGCUAACUCCGUG
rnacentral:rRNA from 1 species